GAUGAACGCUGGCGGCGUGCCUAAUACAUGCAAGUCGAGCGAAUGGAUUGAGAGCUUGCUCUUAUGAAGUUAGCGGCGGACGGGUGAGUAACACGUGGGUAACCUGCCCAUAAGACUGGGAUAACUCCGGGAAACCGGGGCUAACACCGGAUAACAUUUUGAACUGCAUGGUUCGAAAUUGAAAGGCGGCUUCGGCUGUCACUUAUGGAUGGACACGCGUCGCAUUAGCUAGUUGGUGAGGUAACGGCUCACCAAGGCAACGAUGCGUAGCCGACCUGAGAGGGUGAUCGGCCACACUGGGACUGAGACACGGCCCAGACUCCUACGGGAGGCAGCAGUAGGGAAUCUUCCGCAAUGGACGAAAGUCUGACGGAGCAACGCCGCGUGAGUGAUGAAGGCUUUCGGGUCGUAAAACUCUGUUGUUAGGGAAGAACAAGUGCUAGUUGAAUAAGCUGGCACCUUGACGGUACCUAACCAGAAAGCCACGGCUAACUACGUGCCAGCCGCCGCAGUAA
rnacentral:rRNA from 1 species